UUUUAACUUAGGUGCUUUUUAACUUUAAAUUGCUUUUAUCAUUAUUUUAAAGAGAAUUCCAACGUUGUUAAAAUAUAUCUCGAACCACGUCACAUAUAUGAACCCGUGGAUUUUGACACAUUCCAACUUCGUUGAGAUUUGGAUUUUGGUCACAUAAAUGUGCACCUGUAAUUAGGAAAGUGAAUUAUUAAAGAUGCGUCCUACGACGACUGGCACGUUGUUAUCUUUGCGAGAAACCGUAGAUGUUUACUAAAUGGCUUGUCUCAAAUUCUUAUGUGUUUUAGACUUAUCAUUUUACAAGAGAUAGCCCAAAGGACUGUUUGCUACUAAAAGUGAUUCUAAAAGCUAACUAUGAGAGUUUAGUGUUGAUGCCACAUCGGAGUGGCCUGAGUUCAUAUAUCAAUUGGGCCUCAACGAAACCCAACUUAACAGCCCUAUCCUUGG
rnacentral:lncRNA from 1 species